rnacentral:rRNA from 1 species
GAUGAACGCUGGCGGCGUGCCUAAUACAUGCAAGUCGAGCGAAGCGGGGACGGGUGAGUAACACGUGGAUAACUUCUUAUAAGACUGGGUUAACUUCGGGAAACCGGAGCUAACCCGGUUACUUACCGAUGGCUCCGCGCUGCAUUAGCUAGUUGGUAAGGUAACGGCUUACCAAGGCAACGAUGCCUAGCCGGUCUGAGAGGGUGAGCAGCCACACUGGAACUGAGACACGGUCCAGACUCCUACGGGAGGCAGCAGUAGGGAAUCUUCCGCAAUGGGCGAAAGCCUGACGGAGCAACGCCGCGUGAGUGAGGAAGGUCUUCGGAUUGUAAAACUCUUUUAGUAGGGAAGCGGUACCUAAUGAGAAAGCCACGGCUAACUACGUGCCAGCCGCCGCGGUAAUUC